rnacentral:rRNA from 1 species
UACGUAGGAGGCAAGCGUUGUCCGGAAUUACUGGGCGUAAAGCGCGUGUAGGCGGGAAGCUCAGUCUGUGGUGAAAGCGCCUGGCUUAACCGGGCGAGGUCCAUGGAAACUAGCUACCUAGAGGCCGGUAGAGGGGGGUGGAAUUCCGGGUGUAGUGGUGAAAUGCGUAGAGAUCCGGAGGAACACCUGCGGUGUAGACGGCUUACUGGACGGUAACUGACGCUGAGGCACGAAAGCGUGGGUAGCAAACAGG